CCUACGGGCGGCUGCAGUGAGGAAUAUUGGUCAAUGGCCGAGAGGCUGAACCAGCCAAGUCGCGUGAGGGAAGAAUGUCCUAUGGAUUGUAAACCUCUUUUGUCAGGGAGCAAAGUCACCCACGUGUGGGUGUUGGAGCGUAUCUGAAGAAAAAGCAUCGGCUAACACCGUGCCAGCAGCCGCGGUAAUACGGAGGAUGCGAGGGUUAUCCGGAUUUAUUGGGUUAAAAGGGUGGGAAGGGGGGCUAUCAAGUCGGUGGUAAAAUCGUGGAGCUAAACUCCAUCCAGCCGUUGAAACUGAUGAACUUGAGUGGGCGAGAGGUAUGCGGAAUGCGUGGUGUAGCGGUGAAAUGCAUAGAUAUCACGCAGAACACCGAUGGCGAAGGCAGCAUACUGGAGCCCGACUGACGCUGAGGCACGAAAGCGUGGGGAGCGAACAGGAUUAGAUACCCUUGUAGUC
rnacentral:rRNA from 1 species